ACUCCUACGGGAGGCAGCAGUGGGGAAUUUUGGACAAUGGGCGAAAGCCUGAUCCAGCAAUGCCGCGUGAGUGAAGAAGGCCUUCGGGUUGUAAAGCUCUUUUGUCAGGGAAGAAACGGUGAGAGCUAAUAUCUCUUGCUAAUGACGGUACCUGAAGAAUAAGCACCGGCUAACUACGUGCCAGCAGCCGCGGUAAUACGUAGGGUGCAAGCGUUAAUCGGAAUUACUGGGCGUAAAGCGUGCGCAGGCGGUUUUGUAAGUCUGAUGUGAAAUCCCCGGGCUCAACCUGGGAAUUGCAUUGGAGACUGCAAGGCUAGAAUCUGGCAGAGGGGGGUAGAAUUCCACGUGUAGCAGUGAAAUGCGUAGAUAUGUGGAGGAACACCGAUGGCGAAGGCAGCCCCCUGGGUCAAGAUUGACGCUCAUGCACGAAAGCGUGGGGAGCAAACAGGAUUAGAUACCCCAGUAGUCC
rnacentral:rRNA from 1 species